rnacentral:rRNA from 1 species
CCUACGGGGGGCUGCAGUGAGGAAUAUUGGUCAAUGGACGAGAGUCUGAACCAGCCAAGUAGCGUGAAGGAUGACUGCCCUCUGGGUUGUAAACUUCUUUUAUAUGGGAAUAAAAUGUUCCACGUGUGGGAUUUUGUAUGUACCAUAUGAAUAAGGAUCGGCUAACUCCGUGCCAGCAGCCGCGGGAAUACGGAGGAUGCGAGCGUUAUCCGGAUUUAUUGGGUUGAAAGGGAGCGUAGGUGGAUUGUUAAGUCAGUUGUGAAAGUUUGCGGCUCAACCGUAAAAUUGCAGUUGAAACUGGCAGUCUUGAGUACAGUAGAGGUGGGCGGAAUUCGUGGUGUAGCGGUGAAAUGCUUAGAUAUCACGAAGAACACCGGUUGCGAAGGCAGUUCACUGGACUGCAACUGACACUGAGGCUCGAAAGUGUGGGUAUCAAACAGGAUUAGAUACCCUGGUAGUC